rnacentral:lncRNA from 1 species
CCAGGGGUGAACCAACGCAAAAGAAAGUGGGUUCACCUAACACCACAAAAAUGAUAUAAAUCAGGGUUUGUAAACAAGUAUUUUAUUAUUGAUAGUAGCAUAUUUGACUGAAAAGUGUAUUAAUGAACCAUACAAUCUGGGUUCAAGACCCUCUAUGACUUUUUUAUAUUUUUAACUCCUCAAAAAAAAAAAAAAAAAAACAAUUUGGGUUCGCUACUGGCCAAGACUCGAGUUCAUGAAGUGGUUUUACACACUUUCCAGGAACACCCACAUGUGCACGGUAGCUAGAACCCUCCGUUUUACUUCAGGGCGACAAAUCAUUAUGCUUUCGUUGGGCCAUCUUAAUCAUUAGGAUCUCGCCAAGGCCCCCACAGCUAAAUCCUUUUCGGGGUGCACGCUAGUGGACAGUCUAGCUAGUUAACUUUUUCA